UGCUAUGGCCAUGCCACCUGAACAUGCCUGAUCUCGUCUGAUCUCGGAAGCUAAGCAGAGUCAGGCCUGGUUAGUACUUGGAUGGGAGACCACUUAGGAAUACCGGGUGGUGUAGGCA
rnacentral:rRNA from 1 species